rnacentral:rRNA from 1 species
AUUGAACGCUGGCGGCAUGCUUUACACAUGCAAGUCGAACGGCAGGCGCGGGGGCAACCCUGGCGGCGAGUGGCGAACGGGUGAGUAAUGUAUCGGAACGUAUCCUGUAAUGGGGGAUAACCAGUCGAAAGAUUGGGUAAUACCGCAUACGCACGAGAGUGGAAAGUAGGGGAUCGCAAGACCUUACGUUAUAGGACGCGGCCGAUAUCUGAUUAGCUAGUUGGUGGGGUAAAGGCCUACCAAGGCGACGAUCAGUAGCUGGUCUGAGAGGACGACCAGCCACACUGGGACUGAGACACGGCCCAGACUCCUACGGGAGGCAGCAGUGGGGAAUUUUGGACAAUGGGCGAAAGCCUGAUCCAGCCAUGCCGCGUGCAGGAAGAAGGCCUUCGGGUUGUAAACUGCUUUAGUCUAGGAAAAAGGGGUGCGAGGUUAAUACCCUCGUGCUUUGAUGGUACUGGAAGAAUAAGCACCGGCUAACUACGUG